UACCGAGUUUACACUCCCAACCCCUGUGAACAUACCUAUACGUUGCCUCGGCGGAUCAGCCCGCGCCCCGUAAAAAGGGACGGCCCGCCCGAGGACCCCUAAACUCUGUUUUUAGUGGAACUUCUGAGUAAAACAAACAAAUAAAUCAAAACUUUCAACAACGGAUCUCUUGGUUCUGGCAUCGAUGAAGAACGCAGCAAAAUGCGAUAAGUAAUGUGAAUUGCAGAAUUCAGUGAAUCAUCGAAUCUUUGAACGCACAUUGCGCCCGCCAGUAUUCUGGCGGGCAUGCCUGUUCGAGCGUCAUUUCAACCCUCAAGCUCAGCUUGGUGUUGGGACUCGCGGUAACCCGCGUUCCCCAAAUCGAUUGGCGGUCACGUCGAGCUUCCAUAGCGUAGUAAUCAUACACCUCGUUACUGGUAAUCGUCGCGGCCACGCCGUAAAACCCCAACUUCUGAAUGUUGACCUCGGAUCAGGUAGGAAUACCCGCUGAACUUAAGCAUA
rnacentral:rRNA from 1 species